rnacentral:rRNA from 1 species
CCKAGUAAAMAAGCUAGAAUUACAACAUWMGAYCWGAAGACCCUGUGAAGCUUAAACAAAACUAUUAAACCAUAUAAUAACUACUUUCGGUUGGGGCGACCUUGGAAAAAAAGAGAACUUCCAAAUAAAAUGACUAUACCUCAUUAACCCAAACAGGCCAACAAGCCAAAAAUGACCCAGCACAGCUGAUAAUUGAACCAAGUUACUCCAGGGAUAACAGCGCAAUCUUCUUCAAGAGCCCAUAUCAAAAAGAAGGUUUACGACCUCGAUGUUGGAUCAGGACAUCCUAAUGGUGCAGCCGCUAUUAAGGGUUCGUUUGUUCAACGAUUAAUA